rnacentral:siRNA from 1 species
UGCACGUUUAUUGGAUUAGUCCAA